rnacentral:tRNA from 1 species
UGGGGUGUCGCCAAGCGGUAAGGCACCAGAUUCUGAUUCCGGCAUUCCGGCAUUCCGGGGUUCGAAUCCCUGCACCCCAG